AAUUAAGGUGGUCUGCUUCUGAUCCAACGAUGCGGGAGCUGCAUUUAGUCGUGACUGUCACGUCUUGGACUGAAGGGGCCUCUUCAUUUCCCAUA
rnacentral:pre_miRNA from 1 species